rnacentral:rRNA from 1 species
CGGCUGAUGGCGACCGGCGCACGGGUGAGUAACACGUAUCCCAACCUGCCUCAUACUCGGGGAUAGCCUUUCGAAAGAAAGAUUAAUAUCCGAUAGCAUAUAUUUCCCGCAUGGGUUUUAUAUUAAAGAAAUUCGGUAUGAGAUGGGGAUGCGUUCCAUUAGUUUGUUGGGGGGUAACGGCCCACCAAGACUACGAUGGAUAGGGGUUCUGAGAGGAAGGUCCCCCACAUUGGAACUGAGACACGGUCCAA